AACCUGGUUGAUCCUGCCAGUAGUCAUAUGCUUGGUUCAAAGAUUAAGCCAUGCAUGUCUAAGUUUAAGACGUUACCGGGUUCGCUCGGUAAGCUUCCGAAACUGCACAUGGCUCAUUAAAUCGGUGGUAGUCCCUCACAAUCACGAUUCGUCGGCUUGUUCAGCGGCGUCUGUUUGGGUGGCAACACCUGGACGGGCGUCGUAUACGGGCAGGUCGGCGAGAUAUGGAUAUCUGUGGGAAUUCUAGAGCUAAUACAUGAAUUUUGUGACGCUCCUUGUCGGGCUAUGGGCAACCGUAGUUUGGCUUGGGCUCAAGCGUUCGUCUUUUUUAUAGCUGAGGGACUGCUAUCCAAGUAGUUGUUUCAAAUGAUUGAAUCCUGACGAACUUUAGCAAAUCGCAUAGAUGUUCCGACCGGCGUUCCUUCGGGGGCGUCGGAACAAUCGGGGCGGCGAUGGUUUGUAGGGUUUUCCGACUCAUCAGCCAUGUUGGUAAUCCAUGGGUUUACCAAGGCGUCGACGGGUGACGGAGGAUUGGGGUUUGAUCCCGGAGAGGGAGCCUGAGAGAUGGCUACCACUUCUAAGGAAGGCAGCAGGCGCGCAAAUUACCCAAUGCCAAAACGGUGAGGUAGUGACGAUCAAUAACGACGCGGACUCUCUAAGAGGGUCCGCGAUCGGAAUGAGCUCGCCUUAGAUGCUCGAGCAAGUAACGAUCGGAGGAAAAGUCUGGUGCCAGCACCCGCGGUAAUUCCAGCUCCGAUAGCAUAUAUUAAAGUUGCUGCAGUUAAAAAGCUCGUAGUUGGAACCGAGUACCGUGGUAGUUCCGCUCACCGCCGCGAGUGGUGUGGCGGACGCCCGGUUCAAAGCUGUCAGUGGGGCGGCGGUUGUAUGUGGCUUCGGUCAUGUGCAAUCGUCGUGGGGUCUCGGCCCCGACUCGCGCAGCUUACACCUGGAGCAAAUUAGGGUGUUCAAAGCAGGUAGCUCAUUCGAGCGCCUUGAAUAGGUCAGCGUGGGAUGUAAUCCGGCACCUACUGACUCUAAUCCGCGGCGGUUCUUCGGGGCCGUCGCAACUUCUACUUGUUGCUCACCUCGGUGGCCAAGGGUCUCUCAGAGAGUAUUCAGUGGGAACGAUUGAUGGGGGUGGUCGGUGGCGUCGGUAUUUGCCCGUCAGAGGUGAAAUUCUUGGACCGGGCAAAGACCAUCAUCAGCGAAAGCACUCGCCAAGUACACCUCCCUCAAUCAAGAACGAAAGUCGGGGGAUCGAAGAUGAUCAGAUACCGUCGUAGUCCCGACCGCAAACGAUGCCAACCAGGGAUCAGGAGGCGUCGCAUGGACGGCCCUCCUGGCACCCCCGGGGAAACCUAGAGUCUUUGGGUUCCGGGGGGAGUAUGGUCGCAAGGCUGAAACUUAAAGGAAUUGACGGAAGGGCACCACCAGGCGUGGGGUUUGCGGCUUAAUUCGACUCAACACGGGAAACCUUACCAGGUCCGGACUCCGUAAGGAUUGACAGACUAAGGGACCUUUCUUGAUCCUGAGGGUGGUGGUGCAUGGCCGUUCUUGGUUGGUGGAGCGAUCCGUCAGGUCAAUUCCGUUAACGAACGAGACCUCGACCCCCCAAAUAGUGGCAUGUCUGCCCUGCCAACUCGGGGUUCGUUUCUCUGCGGCGGGAUGUCGUUCGGUUUCGGCCGGGCAAUGUCCUGUCGUGACGGGGGGCGACCUCGGUGGGGCACGUGUUCGACUUCUUAGAGGGACGGCUCGCGCUUAGCGAGAGGAAGCUUGAGGCAAUAACAGGUCUGUGAUGCCCUUUAGAUGUUCUGGACCGCACGCGCACCACACUGGUGGUAUGUUGAACAAGCGAGCUACAAAAUCAAAAAAAAGCAACGGACGGACGGGCAACCGUCUGUCUGUCUUUUUGCGUCCCUUGGCCAUGAAAGGUCUGGGGAAUCUCGAGUGACCAUCGUGAUGGGGAUAGAUCAUUGCAAUUAUUGUUCUUCAACGAGGAAUGCCUAGUAGGCACGGGUCAUCAACUCGUGCCGAUUACGUCCCUGCCCUUUGUACACACCGCCCGUCGCUCCUACCGAUCGAACGGCCAGGCAAAGUCCUCGGAGUGGAGCGAUCCUUCGGGGUUGUUUCGUAAAGUUGACUGCACCUCGUCAUUUAGAGGAAGGAGAAGUCGUAACAAGGUAUCUGUAGGUGAACCUGCGGAAGGAUCA
rnacentral:rRNA from 1 species